CACGUAGGGGGCAAGCGUUGUCCGGAUUUAUUGGGCGUAAAGAGCUCGUAGGCGGUUCGGUAAGUUGGGUGUGAAACCUCCAGGCUCAACCUGGAGACGCCACCCGAUACUGCUGUGACUAGAGUCCGGUAGGGGAGCGUGGGAAUUCCUGGUGUAGCGGUGAAAUGCGCAGAUAUCAGGAGGAACACCAGCGGCGAAGGCGGCUCUCUGGGACGGUACUGACGCUGAGACGCGAAAGCGUGGGGAGCGAACAGG
rnacentral:rRNA from 1 species